CAGCUUACUAGAUUUGUUUAGCUCUGCAUGGGACGAUACGUAUGCGAGAGAUAUGUACACUUUUUGAGUAAGUGAUAUAGAUUAAACUAGAGUGGUGGACUACAGUUCAAAUGUCAGUUAUAAAACGGAAAUAUCAAUUCAAAUCGAAAGGUCCACAUGAGUCGUAACAAAAUUGCAAAAAGUAGUGUCAAAUUCAACAAGUUAUAUAAUGUCAACGAUAGAUGACAGUUAAACACGUUGAUAUUGACUGAACGUACAUGUAUUUGCAAAAUAAAAAAAGGGAAAAAAAGUUAAUGAAAGUACUAUUGUAUAUAUAGUAGUGAACUCAUAAUUUUGAAAUCAAUAAUGUAUUGAUAAUGUACCAUACUUUUUCAGUAGGUAGAUAUUUUGAUGUAAUGAAUAUAUCAUCAACCAUGACAUUUUCAGACUAAUUUGUGAGAUUGCAACAUAUUAAACUACUACUGUAACCUUAAUUCAUUAACAAAUGAUGUGGAUUACCUGUCAAUUGAAAUAAUAAAUUGAAAUAUUUCUAAAAAGUGAAGAUGGAAUACGCAAAGUUUACAAUUGUUAAAACAUGGUAUACAUUGGUUCUCCUUAACAUACGAUAGUGUUGAUAACAUUAAAAUUCAAUUAUACACUAACACAUAGUAGUUUUCCCAAUCGUUACACACACGUUUAAGUUAUGUAAAAAGUAAUUUAGUUAAACUGAAUUUCCUUUUUAAAAAGUCCUGUUCUGAACAAUACAAGAUCACAACAUCAGCCUACUUUAAAUUCUUAAUAAAGAAGGGGAAAACCUGAUGAGAUGAACUUAGUUUUAUUUUUUUCAUCUGCUAAUGUUUGCUACCUGAAUUUAUAUGAUUUAUUUCACUCACUUUUGUAAGAAGCAAAGCAAUUUCUAGAAAUAGCUAUGUAGUUUGAUAAAUAUAAGCAUAAACAAGUUGAUCGACAGUUGUGUCCCAUAGUACUUGGUUUACAAAUGUUUUAUGAAAUGCUUCUUUCCAAAUCACAGUGGCUUCCAAAUUACUUAUGUUUUAUCAAUGGCAUUGUUUUUCAUAUUUCAUUACUUUGUUUUAUAGUGUUAACAUGUUUCUUAAAAUAAACUCAUCAUAGAUACCAGUAUUCAACAUUUCAUAUUUACGCCAGACGCGCGUUUCGUCUACUAAAAACUCAUCAGUGUCAAAAAUGUUUUAAAGGCAAAAUAAAGUACAAAGUUGAAGAGCAUUGAGGACCGAAAAUUCCUCAAAGUUAUCCCAAAAUAUAGCUAAGGUACUCUAUUC